rnacentral:rRNA from 1 species
UACGUAGGGGGCAAGCGUUGUCCGGAUUUAUUGGGCGUAAAGAGCGUGUAGGCGGCUUAGUAGGUCCGCUGUGAAAACUCGAGGCUCAACCUCGAGAUGUCGGCGGAAACCACUUGGCUAGAGUCCGGAAGAGGAGAGUGGAAUUCCUGGUGUAGCGGUGGAAUGCGCAGAUAUCAGGAGGAACACCAAUAGCGAAGGCAGCUCGCUGGGACGGUAUUGACGCUAAGGCGCGAAAGCGUGGGGAGCAAACAGG